CAGUUGGGCUUUUUUUCAACUUGACUUACCUCGUGUCAUUCUGAAAUGACUGAAAUAUGAGGCAGAGGUGAAGCGUCGUCGCUGGCCUGGCGAUCAAACUGAGCCUUCUUUGUGCUUUGUGAUGAUGAAUGUUGGUCGGGGCAUUACGGUGACAUCUGGCAAUGACACCUUACGUCUACAGUGGUGACGUCUCAGCGUUUUGUGUAGGUCAUCUCGAGAGAAUGCAAUCUUUAUGACGGGGGAAAGAUGGAUGGGAUCGGACUCUACAUCCUCUCGCUCUGCUGUUACAUAAUAAAUAAGCACAUGAGUAUGUGUGUCAUGGUGUAUGCAGAUGUAUAUGCAGUUGUGUGUGAGCUUAGUCUAAGACUCCUCCAGGUCUCUGCCUAUGCAGAUUAAUAUCUGCAGUUUACAAAGGAGCCCUGUGUGCCUUGCAGAAGAGACUAUCUGGACACUGAAUCCACUGUUUGACAACACCAUCUCGCUCUCAAGCUAACUGAUAAGCAGCCCUUAGUCCUGAGAUUGUAGGGAACUCAGUCUUUCUGCACUAAAGGUGAUAAUUGAAUGAGGGGAGCCUUGCUCCGAGCUUUCUCAAAGCUUGUCACCGACUCAUUCAUCUAGACCCAAGAACAUUGAAUUAGAGUAGCCAAUAGCCGUCACGCUUGCGACUCUAGAUUUUUACUUUUUUUUAUUGCAAUGAUGGGAAUAUUCUGUCUUAAUCAAAAAAAUGAAAAGAAACAGUGUAUAAAGUGAAAGGUCAAAGACAAAAUGGAAGAUACAAUAGAACUUGAUUUAAGUCAACUGCCAUUAUAGAGCAUGAUGCUGCUUUUCCACCAGCCUGCUGAUGCAUAAUACCGACACCGCAUGGUUUUCUUUUCACCUGAUUUGAAUGGUAAUUGAUUCUGAAAUCUAAACGGUAAGUCAGGGGAAAGAGUGUUUUUCUCAAACCAUAGAGCCAUUUAUUAUAGCUCCCCUUUCGUCCCUAUUAAUCACAGUGGUAUCCACUGAAAACAAUAACGCAUAACCCUCCUGCACAACUGACCUCUUCUUCUCUCUCCCAUGACCCAGAAACCAAUGUACACACCACUACUGUAUGCUGCCUUUUGUUACAGUAGUGGAGGAGGCAAGAUCAGCUAUUUUUAAACCUCCACAGUGGAGGAUGUUCACAUGCAUCCUCUCCGUGAAACAUGCUGACAGUAUGACAAGUACAGACACAUCAAAUGACUUAAUUAUUCAUAGAGGGAAUACAAACUAUAAGAGUUGUAGUAGUUGCCCCUGAAAAACCCACAUGUAAAUAUGCUAGAGGUUUGUACGUGCAUGUAGGUGUGAGCUCAAGAGAGCGUGCAUGUGUGGUCAUGGCUGUAAUCGGUUAAAGGAUGAGGAGGCAGGAAAAAGAUUGGGAGAUACUGUACAACAUAGAUGGAGAACCAAGAAUAAGAGCCAGAGGUGUGUAAUGAAGCUUAUGUUUGUGGUUUCAGAGGGUUGAACCUCUGAAUGUUAAUAAAACGGGUUCUUUUUACCAAACUGAGGUAAAUGAAACAGAUAGAAUUGAGAUUCAUUGGCAUGUUCAAUCCAUCGCUACGUCAAGGUAUACUACUAUAGUGUGUGAUUGAACAUGAGGGAUACAGCUAAAUAUAUCUUUCAAAGCAAAGGGAUUCGCAAGCACAAACACACAAACACGGUUAAUAUGAACAAUAUUGAAAUUUAAAAAGAGUGUUAAAAGUAAUAUGGUAGCACAAAGUUGAAAAUGCAACAAUUUGGCAGUUUUUAAACGCUGAUUAAAAAUGAUAUCUCCUGCCAGGGCUUCUAUUAAUUCACUAAUUAAUCCCACAAGUCUCAGCCCAUGGGACUUGUGGGAUCACAUUUCCUUAAACAAAUCUAAUUAUUUGAGCAGAAGAUAUUUCAUUUAUCCUGGUUUACAUUCUUAAAAAAAAAACACUAAAAAAUAUCUUCAUUUCUUAAAAUCACAUUUUGGUCUGCGUGAGGUUACAGCCCACAAACAAGAUAACUCGAGAGAAAAGUAAACCAGCUAAAUCAGCUUUUUAACUUCAACGACUAAAACCCUACAGUGGGCAUUCAUAUGCAUGAGUCAUCGGCUGCUUUCAUGCCAAAGCACAAACAGCCCCCCCCCCAUCAAGCCUCUCCCCCCGAUACCUUCUUCUAAGAAGGCUGCUUUCUAAAAGAGGAAUAGAAGGAAGUACUAACAUCUUUGGGUCUCCACUCCCUGAGGUGGUAUGUGAGGAGGGAAUUGCAUGAAGAAGGAUGGAUCAUAGCAAAUUGGCAAGAUUUGACCACAAGUCAUUUACAACCGGCCCGCUGAUUGAUUCGGGUUUAUUCAAUUUGGCCCAUUGCAUCUCCCUGCUGGGCAACACUGCAAAUCGAGUGCAAAACGCCCUCUGAAUGCCACGGUUCACCCCUGCUGUGUGAGCAAACUACUUCCAUUUUUUUUACCCUUGUUCUCGUUCACUUUAAAGCCUAUAGUGUGUUGCAUAAGGCUCUCUCAUUGAAGGGUUGAGGGGGGGUCAGUAGGGUGUUUGACUCACAGCAGUGUUUCACAAAAGUAUAUGUUUAGACUUUGGUGAUUUUUGGUUGCAGCUUUUAAACGGUUGAAAUUCAAAUGAUAGUGUUGGACAGUGAGUACUGAUGAAAGCAAAGCAUUCCUGUAAUGCAACAAGGAGAACAAUAGAAACAGUAUGUAUAUGGUGAAUUAUAGAUUACACUACUGUUGAUUUGUUAACUGUAAUCUGAAUUUGUAAGGUAAGGCAAUGGAUACAAUUAUACAAAGAAAAUAAUCUGACUGGUACCACUGACAAAUGAGGAUUUCUAUAUGAAAAGGAUUUAUUGUUGGAGUUCUUCAGGGUUGUAACUACAAUUGAUGAUAAGGAUGAAUUUCCAUUCACAAUGAAAUUUAAAUGGGUUUUGAAGGCUGAUUCUAAUAUUGUCAUACUCAGCUUUCACUGUCUUCAUGGAAAAAAGAUUACAUCGUUGAAUUAAAACUGUACAUUGUUUUCUCUAUCACAACUACAUUUCUGGCGGCAUGAUAAAAGCUUUGGAACUGCCUUUGAACCAUCAUAUUGAAAGGUUGAUAAGGUUAAUGAAGUAAUAGAAUUGUUGUUUACUAAAUCACUUCAAAAUGUUAUAACUGUCACGCUUAAUCAAGUAUCAAAAUAAUUGGCAAUUAUUUUUUGUGUUGGUCAACUAAUAGUUUAAUGGAAUAUUUGCAACCCAAAGUGAAUCUUAUUCAGUUUUAUUCUAAUAAUUUCCCCUUGGGCACAAUGAAGUUGUUUUAUUAACUCUGAUUUAUUAACUCUGUAUAAAAUGUGGACAUUAAAGACAUUAACCAUU
ensembl:lncRNA